rnacentral:rRNA from 1 species
CCUACGGGAGGCAGCAGUGGGGAAUUUUGCGCAAUGCUCGUAAGAGUGACGCAGCGACGCCGCGUGCAUGACGACGGCCUUCGGGUCGUAAAGUUUUUUCGACAGGGAAGAAAAUGCCUAUAAGUAACUGUGUAUGUAUUGACGGUACCUGUAUAAGCAGCCCCGGCUAACUCCGUGCCAGCAGCUGCGGUAAUACGGAGGGGGCGAGAGUUGUUCGGAGUGACUGGUCGUAAAGAGCACGUAGGCGGUGUUGUAAGUCAUUAGUCAAAGACUAGAGCCCAACUUUAGUAAGGCUAGUGAUACUAUAAUACUAGAGAAUCAGAGAGGAUGGCAGAAUGCCUGGUGUAGCGGUGAAAUGCGUAGAGAGCA